rnacentral:rRNA from 1 species
UACGUAGGGUGCGAGCGUUAAUCGGAAUUACUGGGCGUAAAGCGUGCGCAGGCGGUUCGCUAAGACAGAUGUGAAAUCCCCGGGCUUAACCUGGGAACUGCAUUUGUGACUGGCGGGCUAGAGUAUGGCAGAGGGGGGUAGAAUUCCACGUGUAGCAGUGAAAUGCGUAGAGAUGUGGAGGAAUACCGAUGGCGAAGGCAGGUCUCUGGGCUGACACUGACGCUCAUGCACGAAAGCGUGGGGAGCAAACAGG